rnacentral:lncRNA from 12 species
CAGGUGAUAAAGGGUCCUGCCGCGAGGCUCUCUGGGAAGCGUAGUUCUAGACCGGACUAAAACUCCUUGGGCUCGCCCCGGAAGACUACAGUUCCCGGUGAGCACUGCGCCCCCAAGGCUGCCGGAACCCUGGCGUGGGGAGGCGUGGGGAGGCGGGGGGAGGGGGAAGGAGAAGUAGAGGAGAGGGCGGGAGGCUGCCGGGGUCGGGAGGUGCGACUCCUCCUAGCGGGGAGUUGGAGAGGGUUGUGGCGGGGCGCGCGAGCGCGAGCAGGUGGUGCCGGAGAUGAAAGCUCAGGAACCGGGCCGGGCCGCCCAACUAAGUGAACUUGGCCCGUCAGCGGAGACCCGGACCCUCCGGCCGCGUUGCCGGCCGCGUUCACGCCACGAGCCCUCGCGCGCCUGCCGCAGGUCGGGCCGGAGCCUGGGCACCGCGGAGGAGCGAGCGAGCGAGGCGCGCGGCCGCCCGCGCCGCCGCGGAGCCGACCCCGGGCGAGUCCGCGGCACCGCGUCCCUUCGCGUCGUACGCGCUGCGGCGGGGCGGGGGCGCCUGGACCCCGGCCGGCCUCGAGCGUCCCUUCGACUUCACUUUAGCAUGAGCCUGUGCUGCCUCUGUAGACAGCUGGAAGCAGCUGUGUCAAGACCUGCAGUGUUAUCAUGGAUGCCUAAAUGGAAAUUCUGGCCCAACUCUGGUUGGCUUGAACUUGAUGCAAGGUCAGUUCAGAGGACAAAAGACAAUGGCUCGGGGAGAGGAAAAGAAGAGAAGAAGAAGAAGAAGAAGAAAAAGAAGAAGGAGAAGGAGAAGGAGAAGGAGAAGGAGGAGAAGGAGAAGAAGAAGAAAGAAAGAAAGAAGAAAGAAAGAAGGAAGAAAGAAGAAAGAAGAAAGAAGAAAGAAGAAAGAAAGCAUCACCAGGCAAAGUGUACCUGUAAUACGAUUGGCCUGUAAACUCCUGGGGUCUCCCAGGUCAAAGGGGUAGGAUUGCUCCUGUCUGUUCCAGUGCGACCCUUCAGUUAUUCUCUUUCCCUUUAAGACCAUCCUUGAAGUUCAUUUUCACCUGAUGCAUUUAUUAAAUAUGGAGAAAACACAGGAUGUGAUUUUUCUUUUCAGUCCUGCUAGGUUUUUCCUUUACCCCUAGCUCCUUUACAGAGUUAGCAAGUGGGGUGUUGGAUGUGGGUGAAAUUGGGGAGCAAGGGAGAAGGGGAAUCGGGCUAUGACAUGUGGAAGAGAGCAGAGAGGAAGGCACAGAAACGUAACAUUCAGCUAAAUAAUGUCUAGUUCCACUUGGUGUUCACGUUCUCAUGUCCUGUUCAAAAGCCCAGAUGAAAUUCCUGUUUGUUCGGGAUGCAGCUGAUGAGUAUUAUGUCUGGAGAGAGUCCCAGAGAAGGUCUUAUACAUCUUUUAUACACCUGCAUGCUAAACGAGCAGAACACCCAGGUGCUGAGUAAGACAUAUGAAUUGUGGUAAAUUAUGCAAACAAGUAAUUUUGCAUGUCCAGAAAGUAGUGCUAUCAGUGGUAUGGUUUUCCUAAACUCUCCAUAAUUUAGAAGAAUGCAAACCAAAUGGCAGUCAAACCUCGACAGGGCCUAAUUGCUCAGCACUGUGUAUCCACUUCGAUAGGUGCCAGUCACCCAGAAGGCUGCUUGCCUGCUAGGGACACUUGUACAGCCUGAGUACAAACCAGUAAAACCCUUCCAGGGGAUUAAUGAAGGCAGGGGGAACCUUAGCCAUGAUGACCCCCCCCCACCCCAGAUGGCAGCAGUAAAAACUGCUUUAUCCAGGGGCCCCGUGGCUAUGCCAAGGCAAAGAUGAUGCAACUAAAGAAAGAGAGACAGGGGGGCUGUGCUGUUGGGGUCGGAGACUUUCAGUAGUGAUAGAGGAUCUAGGCUUGCUACUCAGUGUGGCCUGGGGACCAGCAGAACCAGCGUGACUUGGGAACUUGUACCUA